CAGCCGCCGCGGUAAUACGUAGGGUGCGAGCGUUAAUCGGAAUUACUGGGCGUAAAGCGUGCGCAGGCGGUUCGUUGUGUUUGCGGUGAAAGCCCCGGGCUCAACCUGGGAAUGGCCGUGAAAACUGGCGAGCUGGAGUGUGGCAGAGGGGGGUGGAAUUCCAGGUGUAGCAGUGAAAUGCGUAGAGAUGCGGAGGAACACCGAUGGCGAAGGCAGCCCCCUGGGCCAACACUGACGCUCAGGCACGAAAGCGUGGGGAGCAAACAGGAUUAGAUACCCUGGUAGUCCACGCCCUAAACGAUGUCAACUGGUUGUUGGACGGCUUGCUGUUCAGUAACGAAGCUAACGCGUGAAGUUGACCGCCUGGGGAGUACGGCCGCAAGGUUGAAACUUAAAGGAAUUGACGG
rnacentral:rRNA from 1 species